rnacentral:misc_RNA from 1 species
CCGAAUCGUCGACACGAGUUGUUGCUGGCCCUCGAAUGGGGGCAUGUGCACGCUCUGUUUGCAUCCACUCACACCUGUGCACCUCUUGUAGUUCUACGGUUGGAGAGGCACCUGCCUUUUCUCCCGGGGUUCUACGUCUUUACACACACACUGUAACGUGGUCUUAUGGAAUGCAUGUGGCGUUUAACGCAAUACAGUA